GGCAUGAUGCCGAGUGGUCUAAGGUGGUUAGUACCACUAUCGUUUCCUCCAUGAUAAACAUCAACUAAUAAUUUACCAGGCGGUUUUAAGUUAUUCUACAUACACCGCUCUCGAGAGAGGCGUGGGUUCAAACCCCACUCAUGUCA